rnacentral:lncRNA from 1 species
CUGUUGGAAGGGAAGUCUGGGGGGAAUAUUUUAAUAAAGAAUUCUGGGAAUUCCAGCUCCAGUUGGAGAGGGCCCCCCGGGGGCAAGUCGGGAGCAUGAAUGGAAAUUUGCAGCCUCAAUUAACCCCAAAGAGGCGAUACUACGGCUGGAAACCAGGAAGACGUCUUGCGCUGGGAGAAAACGGGAAACGCCCCACCGUAAAGACAACAUUUUCGAGUUCACUGAAAGGUGUGUUGUAAAGCGAACACAUUUUUCUUCCCCGGAGAUGACUCAAAAACAGGAGUUCCACGUAGCAGGCGGCCAACUGAAUCAAG